rnacentral:rRNA from 1 species
UGGGCUGUAACUGACGCUGAGGCUCGAAAGCGUGGGUAGCANACAGGAUUAGAUACCCUGGUAGUCCACGCCGUAAACGAUGAUUACUAGGUGUGGGGGGACUGACCCCUCCCGUGCCGGAGUUAACACAAUAAGUAAUCCACCUGGGGAGUACGACCGCAAGGUUGAAACUCAAAGGAAUUGACGGGGGCCCGCACAAGCAGUGGAGUAUGUGGUUUAAUUCGAAGCAACGCGAAGAACCUUACCAGGUCUUGACAUCGAGUGACGAACUUAGAGAUAAGUUUUUCCUUCGGGACACGAAGACAGGUGGUGCAUGGUUGUCGUCAGCUCGUGUCGUGAGAUGUUGGGUUAAGUCCCGCAACGAGCGCAACCCUUAUCAUUAGUUGCUACGCAAGAGCACUCUAAUGAGACUGCCGUUGAUAAAACGGAGGAAGGUGGGGAUGACGUCAAAUCAUCAUGCCCCUUAUGACCUGGGCUACACACGUACUACAAUGGUGAUCAAACAGAGGGAAGCAACACAGCGAUGUGAAGCAGAACCCGAAAAAUCAUCUCAGUUCAGAUUGCAGGCUGCAACUCGCCUGCAUGAAGUCGGAAUUGCUAGUAAUCGCGGAUCAGCAUGCCGCGGUGAAUACGUUCCCGGGCCUUGUACAC